rnacentral:rRNA from 1 species
UACGUAGGGUGCAAGCGUUGUCCGGAAUUAUUGGGCGUAAAGAGCUCGUAGGCGGUCUGUCGCGUCUGCUGUGAAAACUCGGGGCUUAACCCCGGGCCUGCAGUGGGUACGGGCAGACUAGAGUGCGGUAGGGGAGACUGGAAUACUUGGUGUAGCAGUGAAAUGCGUAGAUAUCAAGUGGAACACCAGUGGCGAAGGCGAGUCCCUGGACAACUCCUGACACUGAGGCACGAAAGCUAGGGGAGCAAACAGG